GCACUCAUCAGUAACCCAGACCACAUAAAGAGAAGACUGUUCAAGUUUCACACCAACAGCCGAGAGACAAAUGCCCUGUUAUUCUACAUUGCAAAUGAAAAUUCCUACUUCUGUGUUUUCGUGGAGCGAGGUCACCUUGUGCUGCGAGGAAGACAAGGUGGUCGGGAACUCAGAGCUCAGAGCGACGAAAAAGUGUCUCUUUUUAACAAACGUUUCAUAAUCUUACUGGAUGACGACUUCACCGUGGCCUACGAACAAAAGACGAUCUCUACAGACUAUGUUAAAACAAGCUACAGGAGUUUUUAUAUUGGGGGUCUGCCAACGCAACUCAGAGAAAGAGAUAACAUCACAGCUCCACCAUUGAGAGGAUGUGUGGAUAAGCUGAACGCUGAUAGCAGGGAUGUGGAAUAUAGCUGGACCACCGGUGUUAGUGACGGAUGUCCAGAAUCCUUACUAGGUGUUCGUAUGGC